rnacentral:rRNA from 1 species
AACGCGUUAAGUCGACCGCCUGGGGAGUACGGCCGCAAGGUUAAAACUCAAAUGAAUUGACGGGGGCCCGCACAAGCGGUGGAGCAUGUGGUUUAAUUCGAUGCAACGCGAAGAACCUUACCUGGUCUUGACAUCCACAGAACUUUCCAGAGAUGGAUUGGUGCCUUCGGGAACUGUGAGACAGGUGCUGCAUGGCUGUCGUCAGCUCGUGUUGUGAAAUGUUGGGUUAAGUCCCGCAACGAGCGCAACCCUUAUCCUUUGUUGCCAGCGGUCCGGCCGGGAACUCAAAGGAGACUGCCAGUGAUAAACUGGAGGAAGGUGGGGAUGACGUCAAGUCAUCAUGGCCCUUACGACCAGGGCUACACACGUGCUACAAUGGCGCAUACAAAGAGAAGCGACCUCGCGAGAGCAAGCGGACCUCAUAAAGUGCGUCGUAGUCCGGAUUGGAGUCUGCAACUCGACUCCAUGAAGUCGGAAUCGCUAGUAAUCGUGGAUCAGAAUGCCACGGUGAAUACGUUCCCGGGCCUUGUACACACCGCCCGUCACACCAUGGGAGUGAGUUGCAAAAGAAGUAGGUAGCUUAACCUUCGGGAGGGCGCUUACCACUUUGUGAUUCAUGACUGGGGUGAAGUCGUAACAAGGUAACCGUAGGGGAACCUGCGGUUGGAUCACCUCCUUA